rnacentral:rRNA from 1 species
GACGAACGCUGGCGGCGCGCCUAACACAUGCAAGUCGAACGAGCGAGAGAGAGCUUGCUUUCUCAAGCGAGUGGCGAACGGGUGAGUAACGCGUGAGGAACCUGCCUCAAAGAGGGGGACAACAGUUGGAAACGACUGCUAAUACCGCAUAAGCCCACGACCCGGCAUCGGGGUAGAGGGAAAAGGAGCAAUCCGCUUUGAGAUGGCCUCGCGUCCGAUUAGCUAGUUGGUGAGGUAAUGGCCCACCAAGGCGACGAUCGGUAGCCGGACUGAGAGGUUGAACGGCCACAUUGGGACUGAGACACGGCCCAGACUCCUACGGGAGGCAGCAGUGGGGAAUAUUGCACAAUGGGGGAAACCCUGAUGCAGCGACGCCGCGUGGAGGAAGAAGGUCUUCGGAUUGUAAACUCCUGUUGUUGAGGAAGAUAAUGACGGUACUCAACAAGGAAGUGACGGCUAACUACGUG